ACGCUUGAGAGUCCUUGGCAAAUAGGACAGGCUAGGCUUCUUUUUUCACGAGUAGCACCGGUGGAAAUUGCAUUUGCAACCUGAUGAAUAUAUAUAUAUAUAUAUAUAUAUAUAUAUAUAUAUCAGAAGGAAAGGGUCUUUAUUUUCUAGUGAACUGGACACCUUUUAACGAACAGUAUUUGUGCUAACAGGGGCCAGCUAUGGAACCCUUCGAGCACGAUCUGGACAAGGAG
rnacentral:lncRNA from 1 species